rnacentral:rRNA from 1 species
AACGAACGCUGGCGGCAUGCCUAACACAUGCAAGUCGAACGAGAUUUUCGGAUCUAGUGGCGCACGGGUGCGUAAAGCGUGGGAAUCUGCCCUGUGCUUGGGAAUAACAGUGAGAAAUUACUGCUAAUACCGGAUGAUGUCUUCGGACCAAAGAUUUAUCGGCAAGGGAUGAGCCCGCGUAGGAUUAGGUAGUUGGUGUGGUAAUGGCCUACCAAGCCGACGUUCCUUAGCUGGUUUGAGAGGAUGAUCAGCCACACUGGGACGUGAGACACGGCCCAGACUCCUACGGGAGGCAGCAGUGGGGAAUAUUGGACAAUGGGUGAAACCCUGAUCCAGCAAUGCCGCGUGAGUGAUGAAGGCCUUAGGGUUGUAAAGCUCUUUUACCAGGGAUGAUGAUGACAGUACCUGGAGAAUAAGCUCCGGCUAACUCCGUGCCAGCCGCCGCAGUAAAAC